UGGGGAAUAUUGCACAAUGGGCGCAAGCCUGAUGCAGCCAUGCCGCGUGUAUGAAGAAGGCCUUCGGGUUGUAAAGUACUUUCAGUCGGGAGGAAGGUGUCAAGGUUAAUAACCUUGGCAAUUGACGUUACCGACAGAAGAAGCACCGGCUAACUCCGUGCCAGCAGCCGCGGUAAUACGGAGGGUGCAAGCGUUAAUCGGAAUUACUGGGCGUAAAGCGCACGCAGGCGGUUGAUUGAGUCAGAUGUGAAAUCCCCGGGCUUAACCCGGGAACUGCAUCUGAUACUGGCAAGCUUGAGUCUCGUAGAGGGGGGUAGAAUUCCAGGUGUAGCGGUGAAAUGCGUAGAGAUCUGGGGGAAUACCGGUGGCGAAGGCGGCCCCCUGGACGAAGACUGACGCUCAGGUGCGAAAGCGUGGGGAGCAAACAGG
rnacentral:rRNA from 1 species